rnacentral:rRNA from 1 species
CCUACGGGGGGCAGCAGUGGGGAAUAUUGGACAAUGGGGGGAACCCUGAUCCAGCCAUGCCGCGUGUGUGAAGAAGGCCCUCGGGUUGUAAAGCACUUUCAGUGAGGAAGAACGCCUGGUGGUGAAUACCCAUCAGGAAAGACAUCACUCACAGAAGAAGCACCGGCUAACUCCGUGCCAGCAGCCGCGGUAAUACGGAGGGUGCGAGCGUUAAUCGGAAUUACUGGGCGUAAAGCGCGCGUAGGUGGCUUGAUAAGCCGGUUGUGAAAGCCCCGGGCUCAACCUGGGAACGGCAUCCGGAACUGUCAAGCUAGAGUGCAGGAGAGGAAGGUAGAAUUCCCGGUGUAGCGGUGAAAUGCGUAGAGAUCGGGAGGAAUACCAGUGGCGAAGGCGGCCUUCUGGACUGACACUGACACUGAGGUGCGAAAGCGUGGGUAGCAAACAGGAUUAGAUACCCUGGUAGUC